GGUUUCAAAGUUGGUGUGGGAGAGAGGGCUGGCAAGGCACAGUCCCCUUGGGGCAGGCAAAGGGACGGGUUACUCUUCAGCACAAUGUCAGCGUGUGCAGGGCAGGGCAGCUCCAACCUGUGUCUGGCGUGUACUUCGUGUCGUCUGUGUUCCGUGUCUCAGACUGUAUGUUCCUUGGGUCUUGCUGCCUCCAUAGCCUGGUGAUCAGCAGGCACCUCGGUAGCCCUCCCAAGAGUCCGGAAUGCAUCGCUUCACAAGCACAGAGCCUGUUGAGCCCUUCUCAUCUCAGAAUUACAGCUUGAUGCAUGGAUCUCUUUGGCGUGUGUCACAUCCUGGCUGUUUCUGAGCCUUCAUCUCUUGCGGUGGCCAGCCAGGUGCUGCCCGCAGCUCUGCUCUUGAGUCUUCUGUUUCCACAGAGUCAUCUUCUGGGGUUUCAUCCCCGUGUCCUCACUGGUCUUAGGUCUUCCAGCUCAGCUUCUCACACAUCCCUUAUUCUGGUUUUGAUGGCAGCUUUCUCUUGUGUGCGGCGGCAAUUGCCUCUCUUUGGCAGGUCUGCUUUAGAGCAUCUGUGCCAUCGUGGCACCGCAGGGCUUCUCUGCCGGCAUCAUCUUCCCUAUGGGAAUUGUUCUCCUGUCCUGUGGUCUUCUCAUGUAUCGUGGUCACGUUGCUGUGCUUGAUAAAGUGGAAUCUUUCACUGAACAAGGACAAGAGAGUCACAGAAAGUUACAGAGUUCUUGUGAAACAAAGAUCCUGCUGUUCAAACAAGAAGAUGAGGAGGUACUUGCUUUGCUUAAAAUGUGGCAAAACUGCCAAAGUUGCUGUAGGUGAGUGAUCUCUUCUGCUUGUUGCAAGAUCAUGAAUAUGAAAACCCCACCUCCAGCACUUAGGCAGCCCACCUCCAACUGAAGACCCCCACUCAUUGUGUGUGCUGUAGCUCUAAAUCAGAGUGAGACAUUCACUAACCAAUCAGAGAAGAAUAACUGUGAAUAUGUAUUAGGUGGAGGAAACUAACCAAAAGUGUGUGAAUGUGUAGAGUUUUGUGACUUCAGGGGGCAGCUUUGCAGCUUACCACCUAGCACCUCAUUUGUGCAAACAUGCAAUAAAUGAAAAUACCUUGGCUCUGUAUGUGUUUUGGCAUCUUGCAUACCAGGUGAAUGACCCCACUUUUGGUAGAAGGAGGUAUAACACUCGUGGCAUCCGUGUGUAGUCCUGGUCUGUGUGUGAGGGUUGGAGCUGCCCUGCCCAGGGGUGCAGCAGUACUGAAGAUGAUAGGGUAGCGUAGCUUUAUGGGGCUGUGGAAGUAAGUUGGUUUGGACCAAUUCUGUUGGCAGAGACCAUACGGUCCAUCUCUGGGCCAACAGGUGUAGGCAGCUGCCACAGUUGUGUUUUCUUUAUGGUCCGGGGCUAGGAUUGGAUCCAGCCGCACCUAGACUCCUCUGAGAAGGAGUUUAGAAAGCAAGGGGGUCCAGUCUGAACCUCGUGACUGGUUGGGAGCAGCAGUAAGUGUGGAAGGGGAGCGGGUCAGAUCUGGAAGCUGCCUUAGCUUGCACAGAUGGGGCUCCCUAGCUGGCUUUUCAUCUUCGAGCUGUAGUGAGAAGGUAUAUGCAAAAGGCAGAGAGACCUCUGGCCUCACCAAGCUACCUGUGGCUGUGCGGGUGACUUGCUUUACAGGGUGUGUUUGUGUUGUUUCAGAUGCAGAGCAACAAGCAGCACGGCCAAGGGCACGGAAGAGGGGAGCAGAGUGCUGGCUGAAGAAGGACAGGCAUCCAGCGCUGGAGUAUCGGCAGGACAGCUGGUGGCUCCGACAAGCUUGAGCUUCUCUGGCUGGAUUUUCUGGGUGCGGAUCCAAGUGUGAAGCGAGAUGUUAUCAGCAGAGUGGCCUCUGGCAAGUGUUGGGGUUUUCAUUUUGGAGGCACAAGGCCAGGAGCAAAGCAGGACAUCAGCACUGCAGGUGACUCAGGGGAGGUGGUACACAAGCCCUCCUAGUCCCCUGGGAUCCCCGCCUGGAUGAUUCAGGAUGGCCUGGUGCUGUGCAUUGCAUUUCCAGAGACAAACAGCAGCUUGGCAGCCUGUGGUCAGGACUCCAGAGAGAUUUGAGAAGGCCCCAGAGCACCUUCUGCAUCCUCUCACAGUCAGCAUGUGAGCGAAGUGAUGCAGGAUUCCCACCUCUGUGCUGGCCCCACGUGCCAUCCUUUUCCCCUGUGGUUCCAGACUGUCAGCAUGGGAGAGACUUGCUUCCCCUCCAGGUCCAAGUGCUUCCUGGACCUGCCACAGAACCUGAGCUUUCCUGUUGCAUUGAUUGAAGAGCUGCAUAACACUUAGAGCCUGGUGUAGGUUGGCUUCUUCCUGCUAAGAAGCCAUUUCUUUACAAAAUGCUUUUCUUUGUCUAAGAUGGAGACAUACAAGUAGUGGUGACCAGAUCUGUGCUUGAAAAUGGACUUGAUGGAAAGUACCAAACCUGUCUUUUGUUGCAAUCCGUAAUGAUUUUUUUUGGCCUUUUUUUUUUUGUACUGCUUCUCAAAUACAGUUUUCCAGCCUUUUUUUAAAGUUAAGCAGCCAUUGAACGAAAAAUCAGCACUCAGAAUAUUGAUGGAAAAAUAAUUGUGAACAAUUUAAAAACUUCACAGAUUUGUGUAUAAGAUGAAUUUAUUUGAAAAAGUGACACACUUGUUGCUAAUCAAUUAAUAACACAUAAUUUUUCACUUCAUAAUGGAGUCACAAGCUGCUGUCCUCAGACCCUGAUCUCUGGGAGGCUCUUUGUAGAAAAUCAUGCAUAGGAAUAGGAUCAUCCUCUAGGAAAGCUGGAAACACAGUGGUUCAUAAAUGGGAUUUUUUUUUUGGAGUAAAACCUGGCCAGGGAAGACGUUCUCGAGUGUAAGUGUGGUAAUUAAUAAGAUUGUAAUGAUGAGAAACUCA